rnacentral:tRNA from 1 species
GUUUUCGUAGUGUAGUGGUUAUCCGCGCUUGCCUAACACGCAAAAGGUCCCCUGUUCGAAACAGGGCGGAAACA